ACCUUGGUAAGGUCCGCGCUACGAAGAUAGAAAACACAGUAUGACGACAAUAGAGAAGAGAGAGUGACACCCCCCCCCCCCCCCGAACAAUGUGUCAUUAUGUUAUACACUAAUUUCCAUGUGCGCUUAAAAAACAAUAAUUCGAGUGUUCUACGCUGAUGUUGUAAGGGGUUUAGAAUGAAGUUCCGCUUUGUUCACCACAAAAGGAAGUUUGUUGUUUCUGUUCAUCUCUAUCAAAGCCCAUUCAUAGGACAUCCUUUGCAACCCCUGUGGUUCCACGUAUUUCACCUUUACUGCGAGCCUGUAACAGAAACACAACCAUUAAUGAGUGAUCACACAACCUACUACCAGCAACAUUCUUAGAAAAUGAACACCAAAAUCAAUCCAAAAAUAUAAAAAAAUUACAUAAUGUAUCUGUCUCUGAAUAUAAGUGUUAUAAAGUGUGCUGUUUGUGUGUUAUAAGUUUGUAGUGUUUGUGUGUGUGUGUGUGUGUGUUUACAUUGGUAUACAAUGUGAUAUGUCUGUGUGUGUAUAUAUAUAUAAGUUUGUAGUAUUUGAAUAUGUAUGUUUACAUUGGUAAAAAAGGUGAUAUGUCUGUGUGUGUAUAUAAAGAUGUGGUGUUUGUGUACACUUGUAGACAGUAUGCGAGAUACAUAUAUUUUUUAUAUAUUUUUGUUGGGGUUAUAAUGGCUUGCGUUCACAUUAUUUCAAAAGCUUUGUACAUACCUCAUCUAGUUCUUUCUUUGUUUGUUCUUCUAUUCUUCGAAUGUCAUCCAUUGUUAAACCAUGGUAUUUAUCUAGCCAACAAUAAACUUGUCGGUGGAAAUUCG
rnacentral:sRNA from 1 species